GGUGAAAAGCACCCCGGAAGGGGAGUGAAAUAGAACCUGAAACCGUGUGCUUACAAGUAGUCAGAGCCCGUUAAUGGGUGAUGGCGUGCCUUUUGUAGAAUGAACCGGCGAGUUACGAUUUGAUGCAAGGUUAAGCAGUAAAUGUGGAGCCGUAGCGAAAGCGAGUCUGAAUAGGGCGUUUAGUAUUUGGUCGUAGACCCGAAACCAGGUGAUCUACCCUUGGUCAGGUUGAAGUUCAGGUAACACUGAAUGGAGGACCGAACCGACUUACGUUGAAAAGUGAGCGGAUGAACUGAGGGUAGCGGAGAAAUUCCAAUCGAACCUGGAGAUAGCUGGUUCUCUCCGAAAUAGCUUUAGGGCUAGCCUCAAGUGAUGAUUAUUGGAGGUAGAGCACUGUUUGGACGAGGGGCCCCUCUCGGGUUACCGAAUUCAGACAAACUCCGAAUGCCAAUUAAUUUAACUUGGGAGUCAGAACAUGGGUGAUAAGGUCCGUGUUCGAAAGGGAAACAGCCCAGACCACCAGCUAAGGUCCCAAAAUAUAUGUUAAGUGGAAAAGGAUGUGGCGUUGCCCAGACAACUAGGAUGUUGGCUUAGAAGCAGCCAUCAUUUAAAGAGUGCGUAAUAGCUCACUAGUCGAGUGACACUGCGCCGAAAAUGUACCGGGGCUAAACAUAUUACCGAAGCUGUGGAUUGUCCUUUGGACAAUGGUAGGAGAGCGUUCUAAGGGCGUUGAAGCAUGAUCGUAAGGACAUGUGGAGCGCUUAGAAGUGAGAAUGCCGGUGUGAGUAGCGAAAGACGGGUGAGAAUCCCGUCCACCGAUUGACUAAGGUUUCCAGAGGAAGGCUCGUCCGCUCUGGGUUAGUCGGGUCCUAAGCUGAGGCCGACAGGCGUAGGCGAUGGAUAACAGGUUGAUAUUCCUGUACCACCUAUAAUCGUUUUAAUCGAUGGGGGGACGCAGUAGGAUAGGCGAAGCGUGCGAUUGGAUUGCACGUCUAAGCAGUAAGGCUGAGUAUUAGGCAAAUCCGGUACUCAUUAAGGCUGAGCUGUGAUGGGGAGAAGACAUUGUGUCUUCGAGUCGUUGAUUUCACACUGCCGAGAAAAGCCUCUAGAUAGAAAAUAGGUGCCCGUACCGCAAACCGACACAGGUAGUCAAGAUGAGAAUUCUAAGGUGAGCGAGCGAACUCUCGUUAAGGAACUCGGCAAAAUGACCCCGUAACUUCGGGA
rnacentral:rRNA from 1 species